rnacentral:rRNA from 1 species
AGACAUAUCUGCAGUCGAGAUUCUACGGGAGGCAGCAGUGGGGAAUCUUGCACAAUGGAGGAAACUCUGAUGCAGCGAUGCCGCGUGAGUGAAGAAGGCCUUUGGGUUGUAAAGCUCUUUCGUCGGGGAAGAAAAUGACUGUACCCGAAUAAGAAGGUCCGGCUAACUUCGUGCCAGCAGCCGCGGUAAUACGAAGGGACCUAGCGUAGUUCGGAAUUACUGGGCUUAAAGAGUUCGUAGGUGGUUGAAAAAGUUGGUGGUGAAAUCCCAGAGCUUAACUCUGGAAUUGCAAUUAAAACUAUUUAGCUGGAGUAUGAUAGAGGAAAGCGGAAUACAUAGUGUAGAGGUGAAAUUCGUAGAUAUUAUGUAGAACACCAGUUGCGAAGGCGGCUUUCUGGAUCAUUACUGACGCUGAGAUACGAAAGUAUGGGUAGCGAAGAGGAUUAGAUGCCCUCGUAGUCCAUACCAUAAACGAUGAUUAUUAGAUGUGGGGAAUUAUUUCUCUGUAUCAUAGCUAACGCGUUAAAUAAUCCGCCUGGGGAGUACGACCGCAAGGUUAAAACUCAAAUGAAUUGACGG